rnacentral:rRNA from 1 species
UACGGAGGGUGCGAGCGUUUAUCCGGAUUUACUGGGUUUAAAGGGUGUGUAGGCGGACUGUUAAGUCAGUGGUGAAAUCCCGGGGCUCAACCCCGGAACUGCCAUUGAUACUAUCAGUCUUGAAUACUGUGGAGGUGAGCGGAAUGUGUCAUGUAGCGGUGAAAAUGCUUAGAGAUGACACAGAACACCGAUUGCGAAGGCAGCUCACUACGCAGUUAUUGACGCUGAGGCACGAAAGCGUGGGGAUCAAAC